rnacentral:rRNA from 1 species
UACGAAGGGGGCUAGCGUUGCUCGGAAUCACUGGGCGUAAAGGGUGCGUAGGCGGGUCUUUAAGUCAGGGGUGAAAUCCUGGAGCUCAACUCCAGAACUGCCUUUGAUACUGAGGAUCUUGAGUUCGGGAGAGGUGAGUGGAACUGCGAGUGUAGAGGUGAAAUUCGUAGAUAUUCGCAAGAACACCAGUGGCGAAGGCGGCUCACUGGCCCGGUACUGACGCUGAACGGCGAA